UACAUCUCUUCAAUUUCAGACUGC
rnacentral:siRNA from 1 species